rnacentral:misc_RNA from 1 species
GAAAUGCGAUAAGUAAUGUGAAUUGCAGAAUUCAGUGAAUCAUCGCAUCUUUGAAUGCACAUUGCGCCCGCCAGCACUCUGGCGGGCAUGCCUGUUCGAGCGUCAUUUCAACCAUCAAGCCCCCGGGCUUGUGUUGGGGACCUGCGGCUGCCCGCAGGCCCUGAAAACCAGUGGCAGGCUGGCUGUCUCCCCGGUCGUACUAGUAUCAUCUCGUCCAGGGCGUGACUGCGGGCUACGGCCGUUAAACCUUCUCACAUCCAAAGGUUGACCUCGGAUCAGGUAGGAACACCCGCUGAACUUAA